rnacentral:lncRNA from 1 species
UUGUUUUCUCAGUAUGGGGUACUCUGAAAUUGUGAAAAUGAUGAUCAUGCCUUUUUUUUGUGUAAGAGCUGUUUGAAAACAAUUCCUGGAAUGUCAGCCUGUUCCGAUGGGAUGGAGUUUUAGCCUGCUGCAUAACGUCACAAGGCGAUUUGAUUAUAAUAGACAAAUGUAUUGUUAUUUGCAUAUAUCCUCCUACACUGCUGCUGGCCCUGCCCGGUCAUAUGUUGGCAGCAUUCCUGUUUGCAGCGUGCAGUUAGGCUACCGAAGACCAACAUAUUUCUGGAGUUACUUCCUACUUUAAGGCAAUGAGCAAAAGGAAGAUACAUUGUGCAAUAGCUGGCUGCAAGGCAGCAAAUGCUUCUUUGCACUGUCUUGCAUCCGAACUAUCACUUUGUCUGAUUUAGUCAGAGAAGUUAAUGUCACAUUGGACUGCAUUGCAGGCUAUACACACAUGUGGAUUUGCUAGCAGCUUGAUCCUCCAUCCCAUCCACCUUGUACCCGGCAGUGGCGGCAACUAUUCAAGAAACAAGGCACUAAAUCCACACUCAAAGUUGGCAACUCUCCCUCUCCCCCGCACGCAUGCAACCUUGGCAACAUCCUGGAUUCCACCCUCUCCUUCAACCCCCACAUCCGACAGACUGUCAAAACCUAAUUCGUCCACCUCUGCAACAUCUCCAGAGUCAGGUCCUCCCCCUCCCGUUCUGGUGCUAAAACCCUAAUUCAUGUAUUCCAACUAGACUACUGUAACUCACUACUCUCUGGCAUCAACACAAGCUCCUUCCAUAAACUCCAAAUGGUUCAAAACUCUGCAGCCCGACUUCUCACCGACACCAACUCCUAGCAGCACAUCACCCCUGUCCUAUUACUUUUUUCAGAGAGUGUUAAAGUGGUUAAACCAUGCCCUAUAACUGAUUAGUAGGAAUUAUCAAUGAGUAGGGGCUAUGUCUAUCUGUUUGACUUAAUUAUUAUUCAAAGACACAUUUGUUGUGUGUAGGGGCAGUGGCACCAAACAUCCUCCUGGAGAUCCAUUCUCCGGUAGAUUCUGCCAAAAAUGUAUUGGUGAGAAGCUAAGUGUAAUUGUGUGUGUGCAAUACUGCAACUUUUCCACUUUUCCUCUUGGGAUGACAUUAUAAUAUCGUAGUUGUGUAUUGCAAUGUCAGUGUUCGAGAAAGCUGGUGAUGACAAUGCAAAUAAAGCCACUUAUUUUUUGUACUUAAUUCCAUCGAUGACUACUAUGUUGCUGCACUAUACUUCCUUUCCGAUUAUGUUUAGCUAACACGCUCUUACUUUCACCAUUAACUUUUUUCCUCACAGCCUUCCAGACCUUGAGCACAUGUUUAUUAUGUUAUGUAAAUAACUGACAAGAGAAUUUAUGAAGAAUGACAACCUUUCAUUGCAGUCUGGUUUCUUUAUUUACCUUCAACAGAAAACAUUCCAAAAUGUGUAAUUCAAGAUUGUUUACUCAUUAGAAAAAUGUAAAUAAGUUAUACACUUCAGUAUCAUUACAAAGUUUAUUUCGCAAAAUGAUGAAACCAGCUAGACCUCCAGCCUGAGCUUUCAUAAGUCAUAUUGUCACGCCCUGACCUGAGAGAGACGGUUUAUUUCUCUAUUUUGUUAGGUCAGGGUGUGGGGUGGGCAUUCUAUGUUUUAUAUUUCUAUGUUUUGGCCAGGUAUGGUUUCCAAUCAGAGGCAGCUGCCAUUCGUUGUCUCUGAUUGGGAACCAUACUUAGGCAGAGCUUUUUCCCUCCUAGAGUUGUGGGAUCUUAUUUUUGUACUGCUCGGUAAGCCUGCAAGACGUGACGGUCGUUUACCAUUGUUUAUUAUUUUGUUUAAGUGUUCUGAGUAAAAAUAAAUAUCAAGAUGAACACUUA